CAACACCACCUGUAGGGGCACUUCUUCCUUAUUUCCAAAGACAUCUCGUGCUGCCGCCCGCUGGUCCCCUAGAGCGCUAACUGGGGGCGGGGUGGGGUGGGGUGGGAGUGGGGGCAGUGGGAUGCAGGGGAGCAUUCUCGGGUGACAGCCUGUCAGCCUCCUCUGGCCCUGGAAAAAGUGACUUCCCAAGAGAAACAGGGAUGCCCAGAGCAGUAAAUAAACACAGUAUCCCAGAGAAGCGUGGAAGGGCAGCCCCCUGCCAGCCUUGCCCCCAUGACGGACACAACCCAUUGUGAUUUUUGAGGCUGGGUUGCGAAAGGCAAUGCAGCUUCUGCUGCACCUGCUGGGACACUUAAGUUUUGGAAACUUGAACCGCUGUGUAAGAAGUCCGUUUCCCUAGAGGCUGCUGUGCUGUAAGUUGACCUCAGCACGUUAGGAGAGGCCUCGAGUCAGCAGCCCCAUCUGAGGUCCUAGCCAACAGCUGGCAUCCCCCACCAGACAAGGGAACGAUGAACCCUCCAGAUGAUUCCAGCCUCCAGCUGUUGAGUCACUCCCAGGGAUCUGGUCUUACCAGCUGUUGCCCUAGACAUCAUUGGAGCAGAGACAAGCCAUUCCCAUUGUGUCCUGUCUGAAUUAGAUUCCGUCUCAAAAAAACAAAAAAACAAAAAAACCAGAAUAACGGCCCCAAAGAGGUCCACGUCCUAGUCCCUGGAACCUGUGCAUCUGUCCUCUUACACGGCAAAGGGAUUUCACAGAUAUAAUUAAGUUAAGGAUCUUGAGAUGGAAGAUUAUCCUGGAUUAUCCGGUGGUUCUAACAUGAACACCAGGCUCUUUAUAAGAGGGAGGCAAAAGGUCAGAGUUAGAGAAAAAGACAUGACCAUGAAAGCAAGAGGUCACUGUGAUGCAGCCACAAGUGAGGAAUGUAGGCAGCCUUUAAACUUUUUUUUUUUUGAGACAGGGUCUCACUCUGUCUCCCAGCCUGGAGUGAAGUGGUAUGAUCUCAGCUUGCUGUAACCUCCAUCUCCUAGGCUCAAGUGUUCCUCCCAUCUCAGCCUCCCGAGUAGCUGGGACCACAGGCGCACGCCACCACACCCUGUUAAAGUACGCAGCCUCUAGAAAGAGGAAAAGGCAAGACAAUGGACUCUCCUCUGGAGCUUCCUAAAAGGAAGCAGCCCUGUGGACACCUUGGUUUUCAUCCCAUGAGACCCAUUUUAGACCUCUGACCUCUGGAACUAUAAGAGCAUACAUUUGUGUCAUUUUCAACCAUGACGUUUGUGGUAAUCUCUCACAGCAGGCAUAGGACAUUAAUCCAAAUGGUGUGGAUGAGGAAUGAUGGGGUGAUGGAUCCUCAAGAUUGCAGGGUGCACAGAUGACACUCUGAGCAUAGGAGGGUGCUUGCCCCCUCUCUCUCCCUACUGCCCACCCCCAUGUUGAUAUCAGGCUCUGUCUGUGUCCUGGAACCUGAACCAUCUCCCUGGGGAAAUGAGCAAGGGAUAGGAGUUGAACUGUCUGCCAUCAUUUUCACGACAUUGGCUGAAUAGGACCUUAACAUACAAAUGAAGUUGCGUCAUAGAAAGUAAAGAAAGUGGUAAGCCUUGCACAUGUGAGUUGAGGAUUUUGAUUGACAACUGAUGUGCACUUAGCAGAAAGUGUGCUUCCCAGGGCAGUGGGUGUAUCUACACAGUGGCCACAUGGAAACCUAGGCACUGGCACAAGGAUUUGCCUGUGGUCUUUUAAGAGUUGAUCAAAGGUAACAAAAUAAGAAUAUUAAAUUCCGUG
rnacentral:lncRNA from 10 species